ensembl:lncRNA
AGGCGGACUACUCCGAGGGAGGCAGACAGGCGGACUACUCCGAGGGAGGCAGACAGGCGGACUACUCCGAGGGAGGCAGACAGGCGGACUACUCUGAGGGAGGCAGACAGGCGGACUACUCUGAGGGGGAACUGGACGAAGACCAAGAACACACACAUCAUCACAGUGAACACACACAUCAGCACAGUGAACACACACAUCAGCACAGUGAACACACACACUUCGAGCAGGCCCCAGCAAGCUGGCUCAGUGUUCCACAGGUGUAUCUGCUGCCGGACACACCCGCAGCAAAGAGGGUUGUCGGCCCCAGCCACCUGUCCAAAUACCUGAAAGUGAAGGGCCUUCACAACACAGAACCGAUCAUAGGUCUGGGCAGUGUGGUGGAGUGUAGAGGUAUAUCCCAGGCUACGUUUUUCAUGUGUGUGAGCUGUGCUGAGACUCUCUCCAGUACACACAUCUGUGAACACAUCAUCAGCGCGCAACACCAGCAGUGCUACAUGUUUUCCCAGUAUAGUCCUAUGCGCUGUGAUUGGUUGAGAGAGCAGCAGCAGCCUCCGAGUCCACAGCUCCUCAGGAAGGUUGCUUCAGCACUGUCACAACUGGAGGUGGAUCUAGAUGCACAGGUGAUGCUGCUGGAUCAGAUGUGGUAUAACCUUGUGAAGUCAGCUCCAUUCUACGAAGCCAUGUACAUGCUGCAGGAACAGAAUCAGAAUGCCCUGUGUCUACACACAGCAAGCAGACAUCAGCUUUUUCCCCCAGUUGGUCCUGACCCAGCAACGGAGCAGGGCUUUGACCAGAACCACAGAGUGAUGGAUAAACUGACCAUGGAUCAGAUUGAGCCCCAUCACCCCCUGCAGACAGCAGAUACAGUGGCUGGUAAACUGACUGGAGAUCAGCUGGAGUCAGGCCAGUGCAUACAGACCGCAGACAGACGGCCAGAUAAUCAGAACCCGGAUCAGCCCCAGUGGAGCCAGAGCUCAGAGAGAACAGAGAUGGUCCCUGAGCCAAUAAGAGCCAAGACACCACAUAAUUCUGAGCCAAUCAGAGACCAGACACCACAGAACAUUGAGCCAAUCAGAGCCAAGACGUCAAAGAAUUCUGACCCAAUAAAAUUCCAGACACCACAGAACACUGGGCCAAAAAGAGCCUGGAUGCCACAGAACUCCUCAGAACCACAUCUGGACCAAGACAACACAGUCAUUGUCAAACAGGAGCCUGUGGACCCCAAGGUGGAACCUCAGCCCCAUCCUCAUACCCAGCCUGAGGUGGACCCCUUAAAGGAUUCCCUGUAUGGACACAGAGUCCAGUUCUCCCCAGAUGUACAGAACCUGGCUGGUGUGUGUGAGGUGGAGUACCAGGGGACCGUCCUAGCACACAGCCAAGAGGUGACACGAAUAGGAGGGGCCACAGAGAACUCCCUUCAACCCACCAAGAACUUGAGAGACUCCGUCAACAACAGCUUGCCUUUGGUCGGUCUCAGUGCAAUGAUAGAGUGUUGCAGUGAGGGCCAGGUGUCCUUCUACCUGUGUGUGUCGUGUGGCAGCAAAAUUGAAAAAACUCUACUCAUCAGCCACGUCCUCAAAUACAGACACCGACAGCUGUACCUGACAAUGAGGUACCCGUGGUAUUUCCUUGGUGUGGUACCAGCCCGAGGGUUGGCAGAACAGUCCAGACUGAUGCAGAUUGCUAAGGAGGUGGAGGAGCAGAACCAUGAUGAGCCUGGCACGCUACAGGAGGUGAUUCUGGCCCCUGCUGACUUUGCCGAGAUCAAACGGAUGCUGUUUGAUAAAGCUGUAUCCCGUUUGCAGGAGAUCUGUAGAGAGCAGAACCAGACUGAACUCCUCACCAUGGUCACCAGCAAACCUGAACCAAUAGUGGUCAAGCAGGAGAUUGUGGAGUGCCAGGUGGUCUCCCAUCAGGCCUUGGGGCUAUUCCUACCGCCACAGAGAUGUAGGAGAAACACGGGAAAACGUUGUUCUAACGUUGAGGGGUCAGAGGUGAGGGGUCAGCAGCAGGUGAAGAAGAGAAAGGUGUCCAGCCCCCCUGAGGGUCACACUGCCCCUGUCAUCUGUCUAUCAUCUCCUGAAGUCAUCAAGUCUUCUGAAACACACACUGUCAACCAGACACACAUCAUCACACCCUCACCCACACAAUCCAACACUAAGCCGAAACUCACAUACACACACUCUGACUCUCAAACUAAACUUAAACCUUCACGCACACACCCCAAACCCAGUUCAACAGCCCCAGAAUAUACUAGACCCAAACUCAUUCCCCAUUCUGCCACCAAGCCCUCCGGUAUCCCUGCCGACAGCCUGACUGUUGCCAAAGAGUCCUCUAGCAAGAAAGCCACUCACACACUGUGCAAACCCACACACACACUGUCCAAUAGCCAGAAGCUCACUGACAAACAUUCGGACAAGAAUGAGUCUCAGAAACAUACUGAAAAGGCUAAACCUACUCGCACACACAGUGAACGCACACACAGAAACCGCACACACACUCGCAAACACAGUGACCUCACACGCACUGACAAAGCCAAAGACGGACACAGUGACAAGACCAAACGCAGACACAGUGACCGCAAACACACUAACAGACAUUCUGACCACUCACGCUGUCACACCAGCUCUAAGAGACAUAAUCGUAGCUCCAGCCGUUCCUCCAAAGCCUCCCCCAGAGCUAGUCCCUCUGAGCCCCCUGCUCUCCCCCUACUCCCCGCUGCAUUCUCCCCCACCAGAGCCACUUCUGCGGCGAGCCUAAGCCAGGUCAAACCCAGCCAACCUUCCUGCCUAGUCAACAAACAACUACCCAAACAGUCCAGCCAACCAACCAAGAGACCUCCCAACCCAACCUCAGCAGUCAGACCUCUCCAGACCCAGGCCAACCCUCCCAACAACACCUCUUACCCCCACCUGCACCCAGAAAGAACCGGACCCAUGACCCCCCACUCGGACCCAUGACCCCCCACCCGGACCCAUGACCCCCCAACCCCCGGCAAUCCCUCCCUGCCUCACUCCUCCACCUCCACCCCAGCCAGGUCCUGUCUACGCCUCUGGGGUUAAGAAGAAGACUUCCAUUGUAGACUGUGAUCAAUUUGUGGAAUACUUUGUCUCUUUGUUGCGCUCCCCCCACUUUCCUCCUGCCCUAACCACCCCAGAGAGUGCAGAGAGCGCUGAGGCUCAUACCAGGGCAACAGGCCCUAACCCUGGAGGGGAGAAGAUGAGGGGUGACUCAAAAGGUCAUGCCAUCGCCAUAGUGGCGGCAUUACCCAACCCGCUAAAAAGGAAGCUAUCCCUACAGGAACCCGAGGACAGAGACCCCUGGAACUACGAGAGCCGACAGUUCACUCCCAACUCCAAACCUAACCCCAACUUCAAACCUAACCCAAACUUCCAGAACCCUGACUCCAAACCUAACCACAACUUCCAGAACCCUGACUCCAAACCUAACCACAACUUCCAGAACCCUAACUCCAAACCUAACCACAACUUCCAGAACCCUAACUCCAAACCUAACCACAACUUCCAAAACCCUAACCCUAAACCUAACCCCAACUUCCAGAACCCUAACUCUAACCCCAACUUCCAGAACCCUAACUCCAACUCUAACCCCAACUUCCAGAGUUAUACCCCCACUACCAAUGCCACACUAGCCCAGGGGGGUUACACUGGAGGGGUUACCGUUUCUUCUAGCCCUAACCCCACUGACCCACAGCCCCCAGAGAUUCUACCUGGUUACACCUACCCUGGUUACACCUACGCUGGUUACACCUACCCUGGUUACACCUACCCUGGUUCAGGUUACGCUGGAGUUGUCAGUGUUAGUCAGUUCACUUCCAACUCCCCCAUUAACCCUAUCCCCAGCCCCAGUAACACACAGUCACAGCCACAGGCAAGGUGGUCUGGGGGCAACUGGGGAACAGGCUACCCAGGGGCAGGCUAUGUUACAACAGGUCUAGCUGGUACUUCCUACCCUGGAGCUGUCUCUUCUGGAAGUGGACCUGGCUACCCUGGAGUUCUGCUCUACCCAGAGAUGGGCUACUCAGACAUGGACUGCCGUGGACAGGCUUACCCUAGGUCUGGGACUGGACUCGGCUCUACUGGGACUGUUAUGCCCCCAGGAAGCCUCUACUCUACCACACCAUCUCCAGCCAACCCCAGCUAUUUGGCCUUGACCCAGCCAUCACUUGACCCAGCCAGCUACUCCGCCUGGACUGCUACUGACACCGGGGUUGCCAUUGAAACCAGCACAGCAGAGUAUCUGCCACGCCCUCAGUGAGGACCCCGCCAGCCUGGAUUUCCUUAACGUGAAGCACUGACUGCUGGACAAUCGCUGGACAUGGAGGAGACGUAUACACACACACAGAUUGAUAAACGCUGUAUGGGUUUUGACUGACAGACGUUCUGAACUUGAGCACCGUGCGCAACAAGAAGUUGCCCCUAUCCCUCCCGGUAACUGGCCAACUUUUGAAAUGUUUUUGUUGUCUGAGUGAGCAAAAUGCUAUAAAUUGAGAUUACUUGUAUUUUGAAAUAUGAGAAUUUGAGUAUUAUAAUAAAUACCGCUUUGAUGUCAUACAAGCAUGCCAAACACCUGUGUGUCCAAAUGUGCACUUCACAUUUCCAAAUCAUAAAACUCAUGUUUACUACAGUAUCAACGUUUAGCACCACCAUGUUUGAUGUAGUUACAAGAUGACAUGGCAUCAUACCCUGGGUUGUUCUGAACAGAAAUAGCCUAUGUUUGUUUAUUGUGAUGGAAACUAGAGGCUCCACACGCACCGAAUGCACUUAUGACUCCUUUCUAUGCGCCCCAACAUGACCAUCUGUUUCUCUGAAUUGCCUUGUGAAAGCCUAACACUGCAAGAUCGUAUUUUAUGACUCAUUUUGGCAAUAGAACGAGCUUUCAAAUCAUGCCCACCCUACCCACGUUGCGGUUUAUAAUGGACUGUUUUUGGAUUAUGUAAACAACAGCAGUAAUUCUGUGAUGGCGGGAAUGCAGGGUUGUGUUCCAAAUGAAACAACUACAAGUGUUCUUGCUCUCGUUCCUCAACGGCACAGCUAGGAGAGUUCAAAAAAUACUUUCAAGUUGAAGACUUUUCUUUGAGUCAUAGAAGUGCAUUGAAAUUAUUUAGGAACUGUGCACACUUUGGGGAUGUGUGUGGCCACUUGGAGACACCAGUUUCCUUACUCAAACCCUUUUUAGUUUUAUGUUGCAUAUUUUCCAGGAAUAGUCUUGUCAUGUUACUGAAUGUAUCCAGAGUGUCAACAAAUGCACAUAUAAUCAAGUGUAAUGUUUGGAAUCAGUCUGGUGUUAGAUGAACUGUUGGACUCACAUUAUCUCCAAACUUUUCCCUUUCAGUUGCUACCAUGGUUAUGCAUAUGCUUUUCAUAUUUCUUCUGUAAGAAACAUUUACAUUUAGCCCUAUC